rnacentral:rRNA from 1 species
CAGUCGCCACGGUAACACGGAGGGUGCAAGCGUUAAUCGGAAUUACUGGGCGUAAAGCGCACGCAGGCGGUCUGUCAAGUCAGAUGUGAAAUCCCCGGGCUUAACCUGGGAACUGCAUUUGAAACUGGCAGGCUAGAGUCUUGUAGAGGGGGGUAGAAUUCCAGGUGUAGCGGUGAAAUGCGUAGAUAUGCGGAGGAACACCGAUGGCGAAGGCAGCCCCCUGGGCCAACACUGACGCUCAUGCACGAAAGCGUGGGGAGCAAACAGGAUUAGAUACCCCUGUAGUCCCUGUCUCUUAUAC